UACGUAGGGGGCAAGCGUUGUCCGGAUUUAUUGGGCGUAAAGAGCGUGUAGGCGGCCAGGCAGGUCCGUUGUGAAAACUCGAGGCUCAACCUCGAGACGUCGAUGGAAACCGUCUGGCUAGAGUCCGGAAGAGGAGAGUGGAAUUCCUGGUGUAGCGGUGAAAUGCGCAGAUAUCAGGAGGAACACCGGUGGCGAAGGCGGGACUCUGGGCCGAUACUGACGCUGAGGAGCGAAAGCGUGGGGGGCAAACAGG
rnacentral:rRNA from 1 species